GAUGAAUGGGUGGCUGCUGACAAACUGGACUUCAUAAUGGGAGUUUGAACUUGUGUGUGCAUGUGAGAGAAAGUGUGUGUAUGCGUGAGAGAGAGAAGGAGACGGUCGGCCGGUUGGUCGGUGUGUCUGUUUCCGUGGCGAUGGAAGGAGGGAGAGCGAAAACAGAGGAAUGCUUUCGGUGAUAGAAAAGGAGAGCCGGCCAGGAUGGCCACAUAAGGACACUUUCUGUCGGGACUCCCGUUAGAACCAAUCUGACAGAGCGCAGACCGAAAGGUCUUUUGGUGAGAAAACUGAAGGACUUUUGAAGCUACAGAAAAAGGAUCUACAAG
ensembl:lncRNA